AUAUCAAUAAGCGGAGGAAAAGAAACCAACAGGGAUUGCCCUAGUAACGGCGAGUGAAGCGGCAACAGCUCAAAUUUGAAAUCUGGCUCUCGGGCCUGAGUUGUAAUUUGUAGAGGAUACUUUUGAUGCGGUGCCUUCCGAGUUCCCUGGAACGGGACGCCAUAGAGGGUGAGAGCCCCGUCUGGUUGGAUGCCAAAUCUCUGUAAAGUUCCUUCAACGAGUCGAGUAGUUUGGGAAUGCUGCUCUAAAUGGGAGGUAUAUGUCUUCUAAAGCUAAAUACCGGCCAGAGACCGAUAGCGCACAAGUAGAGUGAUCGAAAGAUGAAAAGCACUUUGAAAAGAGAGUUAAAAAGUACGUGAAAUUGUUGAAAGGGAAGCGUUUAUGACCAGACUUGGGCUUGGUUAAUCAUCUGGGGUUCUCCCCAGUGCACUUUUCCAGUCCAGGCCAGCAUCAGUUUUCCCCGGGGGAUAAAGGCGGCGGGAAUGUGGCUCUCUUCGGGGAGUGUUAUAGCCCACCGUGUAAUACCCUGGGGGGGACUGAGGUUCGCGCAUCUGCAAGGAUGCUGGCGUAAUGGUCAUCAACG
rnacentral:rRNA from 1 species